rnacentral:rRNA from 1 species
GACGAAGGUGGCGAGCGUUACUCGGAAUUACUAGGCGUAAAGCGUGGGCAGGUGGUCUGAUAAGUCUGUUGUGAAAGCUCCCGGCUUAACUGGGAGAGGCCAAUGGAUACUGUCGGACUUGAAUGUGGGAGAGGUGACUGGAAUUCCCGGUGUAGCGGUGAAAUGCGUAGAGAUCGGGAGGAACACCAAUGGCGAAAGCAGGUCACUGGACCACUAUUGACACUCAUCCACGAAAGCUGGGGGAUCAAACAGGAUUAGAUA